CACGUAGGCGGGUUGUUAAGUUGGGGUGAAAUCCUGGAGCUCAACUCCAGAACUGCCUCCAAAACUGGCGAUCUUGAGUUCGGGAGAGGUGAGUGGAACUGCGAGUGUAGAGGUGAAAUUCGUAGAUAUUCGCAAGAACACCAGUGGCGAAGGCGGCUCACUGGCCCGAUACUGACGCUGAGGUGCGAAAGCGUGGGGAGCAAACA
rnacentral:rRNA from 1 species